rnacentral:rRNA from 1 species
AACGAACGCUGGCGGCGCGCCUAAUACAUGCAAGUCGAACGAGAAUGUGUAGCAAUACACAUGUAAAGUGGCGAACGGGUGAGGACUACAUGGGUAACCUACCCUCGAGUGGGGAAUAACUAGCCGAAAGGUUAGCUAAUACCGCGUACGCUUCCCGGACUGCGGUUUGGGAAGGAAAGCGAUACCGUGGGUAUCGCGCUCUUGGAUGGGCUCAUGCCCUAUCAGCUUGUUGGUGAGGUAACGGCUCACCAAGGCUUCGACGGGUAGCUGAUCUGAGAGGAUGACCAGCCACACUGGCACUGCGACACGGGCCAGGCUCCGACGGGAGGCAGCAGUAAGGAAUAUUGCGCAAUGGGGGCAACCCUGAUCCAGCCAUGCCGCGUGAGUGAAGAAGGCCUUCGGGUUGUAAAGCUCUUUCGGCCGGGAAGAAAUCGUAUCAGCUAAUACCUGGUGCGGAUGACGGUACCGGCAUAAGAAGCACCGGCUAACUACGUGCCAGCCGCCGCCGUAAGAC